rnacentral:miRNA from 7 species
CUUUUUGCACAGAGAGUCUCAUGUCUAAUAUUUAGACAUGAUGAGCUUUGUGCAAAA